rnacentral:rRNA from 1 species
GACGAACGCUGGCGGCGCGCUUAACACAUGCAAGUCGAACGGAAAGGCUCCAGCUUGCUGGAGUACUCGAGUGGCGAACGGGUGAGUAACACGUGGGUAAUCUGCCCUGCACUCUGGGAUAAGCCUGGGAAACUGGGUCUAAUACUGGAUAUGACCUUUCUCCUUAUGGGGUUUGGUGGAAAGUUUUUCGGUGUAGGAUGAGCCCGCGGCCUAUCAGCUUGUUGGUGGGGUGAUGGCCUACCAAGGCGACGACGGGUAGCCGGCCUGAGAGGGUGAUCGGCCACAUUGGGACUGAGAUACGGCCCAGACUCCUACGGGAGGCAGCAGUGGGGAAUAUUGCACAAUGGGCGGAAGCCUGAUGCAGCGACGCCGCGUGAGGGAUGACGGCCUUCGGGUUGUAAACCUCUUUCAGCAGGGACGAAGCGUAAGUGACGGUACCUGCAGAAGAAGCACCGGCUAACUAUGUG